rnacentral:rRNA from 1 species
UUGGGUAUAGGGGCGAAAGACUAAUCGAACCAUCUAGUAGCUGGUUCCCUCCGAAAUUUCCCUUAGGAUAGCUGCAACUGAAUAGUUUUAUCAGGUAAAGCGAAUGAUUAGAUGUUCGGGGGAAGUUACUUCCUCCACAUAUUCUCAAACUUUAAAUGGGUAAGAACCCGGGAUUACCUAAGCGAAUCCUGCGGUCGAAUAAGAGUUGCUAGUGGGCCAUACCGGGUAAGCUGGUCUGGCGAUGCGGGAUCAACCGAACGUAGCCUUAAGGUGCCAAACUACCCACUCAUCUAGAUUCAAAAGGUGUUGGUUCAUUUAGACAGCAGGACGGUGGCCAUGGAAGUCGGAAUCCGCUAAGGAGUGUGUAACAACUCACCUGCCGAAGCAACCAGCCCUGAAAAUGGAUGGCGCUAAAGCUUCCUACUUAUACCUUGCCGUUGAAUCAGAGCUGGCCCUUGCGGCCCUGACGAUUCAACGAGUAGGCAGGUCGAAGUGAUGGCGUGGAAGGCUCUGGGAGUGAUCCUGGCCGGAGCCGUCACUUGUGCAGAUCUUGGUGGUAGUAGCAAAUACUCCAGAGAGGCCCUGGAGGACCGAUGUGGAGAAGGGUUUCGUGUGAACAGCCGUUGAACACGAGUCAGUCGAUCCUAAGGCUUAGUGGAAGCAUUGUUCAAUAGGGCGGUGAUCUACAUUCAGUUAGAGCCGCAUCUACAGCCGAAAGGGAAUCAGGUCCAUAUUCCUGAACCUGGUAGCGUAACCGUUGGGAGCCUCGUAUCUCACGUGGUAACACGAACAGAGCUUGAGACGCCCGCCCGAAUUCUGGGAAGAGUUGUCUUUUCUGCAUAAGCAACCGAGGCCCUGGAAUUUCUUUGAGAAGAGAAUGGGUUUUGGUUUUGCCAAGAGCACAGCAGUUCUCGUUGUGUCCAUGAACGUCGGGCGGGACCUUGAAAAUCAAGCUGAGGGCAUCGGCGAGUCGCACCAGUUCGUACCCAUAUCCGCAGCAGGUCUCCUAGGUAAACAGCCUCUGGUCGAUAGAAUAAUGUAGGUAAGGGAAGUCGGCAAAUUGGUUCCGUAACUUCGGGAAAAGGAAUGGCUCUAAAGGCCGGGGCGUUUGGGCUUAGUGCAGGAAGCAGUCAGCUUACCGGCGGGCCUGGCGAAACCUUCGCGGUGAAGUCGGUCCCGUUCUCAAGCUGCUGUGGAUUGCCUUUGCUUUGCAGUCCUGGGCAACCAGGUCACUGUUCAGGCGUCGAUUAACGGCUAAUUUAGAACUGGCACGGACAAGGGGAAUCCGACUGUUUAAUUAAAACAAAGCAUUGCGAUGGUCAGAGAGUGAUGUUGACGCAAUGUGAUUUCUGCCCAGUGCUCUGAAUGUCAAAGUGAAGAGGUUCGUCCAAGCGCGGGUAAACGGCGGGAGUAACUAUGACUCUCUUAAGGUAGCCAAAUGCCUCGUCAUCUAAUUAGUGACGCGCAUGAAUGGAUUAACGAGAUUCCCACUGUCCCUAUCUACUAUCUAGCGAAACCGCAGCCAAGGGAACGGACUUGGGAGAAUCAGCGGGGAAAGAAGACCCUGUUGAGCUUGACUCUAGUCUCCUAUUGUGGCGAAGCAUUUUUGGCGUAGAAUAGGGAGGAGCUUCGGCAUCAGUGAAAUACUCCUACAAAAAUCGCUUCUCUGCUUACUUGGUUAAGCGAAGUUAGAGCUUUCGGGCUCUAUUUCUCGAAUCAAAUGGCAGGUCUCUGACAGGCCAUGAUUCGCUCCAAGGACAUUGCGAGGCGGGGAGUUUGACUGGGGCGGUACAUCUGUCAAAUGAUAACGCAGGUGUCCUAAGGCCAGCUCAGUGAGGACAGAAACCUCACGUGGAGUAAAAGGGCAAAAGCUGGCUUGACUUUUCCCUUCAGUACGGGGCAAAGAGAAGAAAUUUCGGCCUAUCGAUCCUCUUUAUUUCGGAGUUUGAAGAAAGAGGUGCCAGGCCAUGGUGUCCGCUGGAUUCGCCUCGAUGCCGUCGGGUUCGUCUGGAAAGAGCC